GAGGCAGUAGCUCAGGGGCAGAGCCCACGCUUCACUGUGGGGAGACCGGGGUUCGAUUCCCUGCUGCACCC
rnacentral:tRNA from 1 species